rnacentral:tRNA from 2 species
GGGCGCAUAGUUUAAUGGUAAAACGCUCCGUUCACAUCGGAGAGAGUAUAAGUUCGAUUCUUAUUGCGCCCA